rnacentral:rRNA from 2 species
UAGGGAAUCUUCGGCAAUGGACGAAAGUCUGACCGAGCAACGCCGCGUGAGUGAAGAAGGUUUUCGGAUCGUAAAACUCUGUUGUUAGAGAAGAACAAGGACGUUAGUAACUGAACGUCCCCUGACGGUAUCUAACCAGAAAGCCACGGCUAACUACGUGCCAGCAGCCGCGGUAAUACGUAGGUGGCAAGCGUUGUCCGGAUUUAUUGGGCGUAAAGCGAGCGCAGGCGGUUUCUUAAGUCUGAUGUGAAAGCCCCCGGCUCAACCGGGGAGGGUCAUUGGAAGCUGGGGGACUUGAGUGCAGAAGAGGAGAGUGGAAUUCCAUGUGUAGCGGUGAAAUGCGUAGAUAUAUGGAGGAACACCAGUGGCGAAGGCGGCUCUCUGGUCUGUAACUGACGCUGAGGCUCGAAAGCGUGGGGAGCAAACAGG